AAAUGCGAUAAUUAAUGUGAAUUGCAGAAUUCAGUGAAUCAUCGAAUCUUUGAACGCACCUUGCGCUCCUUGGUAUUCCGAGGAGCAUGCCUGUUUGAGUGUCAUGGAAUUCUCAACUCUAUUUGCUUUUGUGAAUAGAGCUUGGAUUUGGAGGUUUAUUGCUGGUACUUGUGAUCGGCUCCUCUUGAAUGCAUUAGCUCGAACCUUUGCGGAUCAGCUAUCGGUGUGAUAAUUGUCUACGCCGUUGCAGUGAAGCAUAUCAAUGGGCUCGGCUUCCAAUCGUCCUUUACUGGACAAUGACUUUGACCUUUGACCUCAAAUCAGGUAGGAUUACCCGCUGAACUUAAGC
rnacentral:misc_RNA from 1 species